CAGCAAUGAAAGAGAGAUAUCACGAGCUUCCAAAUCAGCAUCCAACUCCACUCCAGUCAUUGAAAGUUGUUGAGCUUAAGGUGUUUACACCUAACACAUUCCAAGUCUCACGAAUGUCAUGAAAACAAUCUUAAUGAAGACUUCUUCUUCUCUACAACGACAAAUCUGGUGAGUUCCUGAUGAUUUUAAAGCUUUUGAUGUAUAAACCAUCUUCCUGUCCCUUUUGAUAGUCGACUUCAGAUGGACUCAAGCCUCACCAUAGUCUGCAAAUUCCUAAAAGAAACCACCUGGUAAGAUUGAGUUCUUCACGAUCCAUAUCCCUUUAUGUGAUUUCACUUUUAUUGUUGUCAUGCCCUUAUCUACCUGCUAUUACAUAACAAUGUUUCGCCAUCUUCCUCGACCCUCAGCAGAUUGAGCUUAAAGCUGAUACCACUGCUUGAAGUUCAAGAAAAAUACGUACUUUAUUUAUCUGUAAAUGCUCUUCAUACUUGUCACUGCUGCAUCUGUUUGUAAGUUUCAGAGUCUGCGAUGUGACCUAUUUUAUUGCUAUCUUCGUUGUAUGACCCUAAUUAACAAAAAUCUCCAUUUUGAUAUCUUUUUAUCCUGAGAUUAGGAAGUUUUGCUUUUUCUGUAUUGAUGAUGCCUCUAGCUUCCCUUGGUAUAUCUUGAAUAUUUGAAUAUGUUAGUAUUUGAGUCCCUACAAAACAGAAAAUGUGAUUAGUAAAAAAAUCAGCCAACUGAUUUCCUUCUCUGAGUGUAUGUUCCACUGUCACUUCCUUGUCCUUCAUAAGCAUCUUGAUCCUCUUGACUUCCAUCGCUAUGCCCCAAGGGAUUUCCCAGCUUCCAUCCAGAAUAUUCUUCAAAGAUAGAGAAUCAGUUUCAAGUGUAACAGGGAGAAGAUUGUGUUGUACACAAUACUCCAGCCCCAAUCUUAAGGCCACCACUUCUGCCACUAGAUUCGAACCAUCAAAUAAUCUCUUUACUUCAGCAUAAAUUAAGUUCCCUUCUCCAUUCCUGAUACAAAAAGCCCCAGAACUUGGGCCUGGAUUUCCCUUCGAAGUUCCAUCAGAAUUGCAUUUAAAGGACCCCAUCUCUAGAAGCUUCCACACUACUAUUCUGCAACCAAGGGUGGGAAUGUACUCCUCCAAAAAUCUUACUAACCCAGGCCAAGAUGUUGGUAAGUUUUUGAGCCAAGGGUAGUUAUACUUGGCUAACAGAAACAAAUUUAUGUUUAUUUCUAAUUCCAUGCCCAUAUAUGACAUUCUUCCUCCAUGAUUAAUGGUGUUACUCCUCUCCCAAAUCUGCCAUAUUGUAAAUAAAGGCACUGCAUUGAAGAGUAUUUGCAACUUAGGUGUUCUUUCUGCAUUCCACCAUUUCAUUACAGAAUCCCUUAAUUGUAAAAAAGGACCAUUUAUCCCCCUUGCACCUGCAAAAUUACCCCAUAGCCUGUUAGCAAUUGGACACUUAAUAAAUAAAUGUUCAAUUGUUUCCCUCUCAUUUUCAACACAACAUUUACAAAUUAGUUCAUCACAUAUCUGGCUUCUUACAAGCACUUCCCCAAUAGGAAUUCUCUUAAUCCAGAACCUCCAAACCAAGAAGGACACUUUGAAAGGCAUUCCUUUUAUCCACAACUUCUUGUAAUCCCCUAGAACAUCACCUGGUUGUCUUAGUAUUUCCCAAGCAGACUCGCCUGUGAAUUUCCCAAAAGGAUUAAGCAUCCACCAGGGUUUGUCCCAUUCUGUUGACCCUUCUUCAACCAUAAGAUUAUGCUGGAUGUGAUUACUAACCUCCUCUGGAAAUAGCAUAGUUAGUGUUAGAAUAUGAAUAGGUUUAUACAAUCCUAUUAGAAUAGGAAUAGGUUUAUACAAUUCUAUUAGAAUAGGAAUAGUGAUAGAAAUAGAAAUAGGAAUACAAAAUAGUAUCCUACUUGGUAAAUGAUUGUAUUCUAGGGUCUAUAAAUAGGGUCUCAGUGUAAUAAUGUACACAACAAUAAUUCAAUAAUAUUCUUUUCCUAUAUUUCUCACAUGGUAUCAGAGCCUCUACGAUCUUGGUAAACAAUCAAAGAGCUUCCGCUGCCGGCGGGCGGCUAUUAUCCAUAUAUGNNNNNNNNNNNNNNNNNNNNNNNNNNNNNNNNNNNNNNNNNNNNNNNNNNNNNNNNNNNNNNNNNNNNNNNNNNNNNNNNNNNNNNNNNNNNNNNNNNNNNNNNNNNNNNNNNNNNNNNNNNNNNNNNNNNNNNNNNNNNNNNNNNNNNNNNNNNNNNNNNNNNNNNNNNNNNNNNNNNNNNNNNNNNNNNNNNNNNNNNNNNNNNNNNNNNNNNNNNNNNNNNNNNNNNNNNNNNNNNNNNNNNNNNNNNNNNNNNNNNNNNNNNNNNNNNNNNNNNNNNNNNNNNNNNNNNNNNNNNNNNNNNNNNNNNNNNNNNNNNNNNNNNNNNNNNNNNNNNNNNNNNNNNNNNNNNNNNNNNNNNNNNNNNNNNNNNNNNNNNNNNNNNNNNNNNNNNNNNNNNNNNNNNNNNNNNNNNNNNNNNNNNNNNNNCCAUAUUAUUUCUCUUUUUCAAUGGGGGUCGUUCCAUCAAUUCGAACUAUCCUAUAUAAUUUCUAUUUUCUAGUUGGGUCGUGACAUCAUUCCGACCCUACCCAUAUAAUUUUAUUUCUUAGAUUAUGACCACCUUUAGCCAUCAAAUCUAAUACUCCGGCAUAUAAACAUGUUCCAGCCAGUUUUUCGGUGACUUUCUUGUUUAAUAUUGACUCGUCUAUUGAUUCCAACAUGAUCCAUAUACUUUAUACUAGAUUUUGAGCACUUGCAACAACCGUUACAUUGUGAAGAAGUAUAUAUGGAGCAACCACCUAAUUUUGUUGCUCAGGGGGAGUUUAGUAGCCUUGUAUGUUGAUUACGUAAGUCACUCUAUGGUUUGAAACAGUCUUUGCAAGCUUGGUUUGGGAAGUUCCAACACUGUAAUUUUAUCACUCUGUGUUUUAUCGGCAUUAUGCAUCAAAUUCAGUAUUUCAUGAGAAGACCAAGCACAUUGAGAUUGAUUGUCAAUUUUGUGAAGUCGAGUGAUCAACUUGCAGAUAUCUCACCAAGCCCCUCAUCGGUCCUCGUGUUAAUUACAUUUGUAACAAGCUAGGUACAUGAAUUGUAUGCACUAGCUUGAGGGGGAGUGUUAGAAUAUGAAUAGGUUUAUACAAUCCUAUUAGAAUAGGAAUAGGUUUAUACAAUUCUAUUAGAAUAGAAAUAGUGAUAGAAAUAGAAAUAGGAAUACAAAAUAGUAUCCUACUUGGUAAAUGAUUGUAUUCUAGGGUCUAUAAAUAGGGUCUCAGUGUAAUAAUGUACACAACAAUAAUUCAAAUAAUAUUCUUUUCCUAUAUUUCUCACAGUUAGUACAUUAGUAUUCCACCUCCCAUUAUUGACUAAUUGAUUGACAUCUUCAAACUGGUGAGAUCUUCUGUUAGUCACUGGGAGAUAAUAUUGUAGAGCUCCAAGCUUAGUCCAGUUGUCAUACCAAAUUUUAGCAUUCUCACACUUUGGCUCCCACCAAAUUUUUUGAGCAACAUAAUUUCUAGCUUCAAUCAUAUACUUCCACGUCUGAUAACCCCAUUUCCAUUCUACCACCUGAGGAGCAUAUCUUUUGCAAUACUUAUUCCACAUGAAGAUAGUCCACAUUGACUUUUGAGUCCUAAAUAUCCACCAUAGUUUAGCAUGUAAUGCUUUUGAAAUAUCAAACAGUGAUCUAAAGCCUAGACCACCUUCUUCUUUAGGCCUGCAAAUAACAUCCCAAGCAACCCAAUGUUUGUUUCUGCCCACCUUCUUGAAAUUCCAUAGAAAUCUUACAAACAUUCUAUGUAACUCAUGAAUCACACAUUUAGGAGGAUUUAUAGCAUACAAUAGAUAUAUAGGGAUGCUAUUCAGAACAUUAUUUACUAAUACAGAUUUACCUCCAAAAGAAUGGAUCUCCCCUUUCCAGGUUUGCAAUUUGUUAUGUACCUUUUUAAUGAGAUCUGAAUAGUGAUUCUUUCUCUGUCUGGCAUGUCCAAUUGGACACCCUAAGUACAUCAAAGGAAUUUUUCCUCUGGGGAAUCCUAUACAACUUUCCACCUCCUGGAUCACAGUUCUAGCAGUUUUAUCAUGCACAUAAAAUAAACUCUUCUCCUUAUUGAUCUUCUGCCUUGACUGUUGCUCAUACUCCUCCAAAGUUUGCAUCACUAACCUCAAAGACUUCUUAUCUGCAGAAACAAAUAAGAUAGUAUCAUCCGCAUAUGACAAAUGAUUAAUGUUAUCACUCCAUUUUGGCAUCCCAAAUCUCUUGAAGUCCUUAUUCUCAAAUAAAGAGUUUAGGGCUCUAGACAACACUUCUGUAGAUAAAAUAAACAGAGCAUGAUACAAAGGGUCUCCUUGUUUCACACCCCUAGUAGAAUGAAAGAAACCAUAGGAUUGCCCAUUUAUAAGAAUAGACUACCAAUUAUUAGCCAAUAAUCUCCAAAUCAUAUCCACCACUCUAUUAUCAAAUCCCAUUUUUUCCAGCACCUUUAUCAAAUACUUCCAAUCCACUCUAUCAUAAGCUUUGGCCAUAUCCAGCUUAAUUACCACAUUAGCAGGUUUGCCUCUUUUCUUCAUAUUUGUAAUGAUUUCUUGGGCCAAUAAGAUAUUUUCUGUGAUAUUUCUGCCCUUCACAAACCCAGACUGAUUUUUAGACACUAGAGUAGGGAGAUAUGCCUCAAGCCUAUCAUGAAUCAAUCUUGAUAUUACCUUAUUAAGAAAACUACUUAAACUAAUUGGCCUCAUGUCAGAGAAUGACUGAACAAUUUUUUUUUUUUGGCAAUAAGACCAAAUUAGUAUGUGUAAUAGAUUUAGGUAAAGUGCUGCCUGCAAAGAAAGCCAUGAUCAUUUUUACAAUAUCCCAGCAGCUUUGGAAAAUUAUACUUGUUAACCCAUCCGGGCCACUAGCACUUUCUCCAUUUAAUUCAAAAAUUACCCUCUUCACUUCCUUUUCUAAUAGUGCCUUUGUAAUACCCCUAUUCAUCUCCUCAGUAACUAGUGUAGGCACAUGAUUAAGAAGAGACAAGUCUGCAGGGACAUUUUCACUAGAAAAUUGCUUCUAAAAAAAGAGACAGCCUCAACAGCCACCUGCUCAUUCCCUUCUGCCAUUGCCCAUCUUCUUUGAUGAUUCUUGAAAGCGAAAGUCUCUUUGUCCUCCCUUUUACUAGACUAUGGAAAAAUCUAGUAUUUCUGUCUCCUUUCGAGAACCACUGAAUCCCUGCCUUUUGUCUCCAAAACUCCUCUUCAAAGUAUAAAUAUCUCUUCAAUUAAGCCUGAUCACUCUAAAGAACAAUUCUAUUGCUUACAGUAGGAUUUUCUUCAAAAAAUUCUUCUUUGAGCCUCACAAUCUUCUCUCUAAUGAUCAGUUGUUUGAAUAUAUCUCCAAAUCUUUCUUUGCUCCAACAGGCAAGAGCAUACUUAGUAUUCUUCAUUUUCUGCUUAAUAGUAAUAAAAAUAUCUGAAUUCUCCUGAGCAACCCAACUUCUUUUCACCACAUCCUUAAAGUCAGCCUCUUCCACCCAAAAUUUCAAGAAUUUGAAUGGUUUUCUAAUAUGAGGUUGUUGUCCACCAAAAGAGAGUAAUAAUGGGGCAUGAUCUGAUCCUGUUCUAGCUAGGUGCUCCAUUUCCACAUGUACAACCAUGCCCAUGCAUUCAUGAUUUAUCAGUAUUCUGUCCAGCCUUUUAAAGAUGCAUUCACUAUCAGCUCUGCCAUUCCACCAGGUGAAAGGACUACCUUUAAAGUUUAUGUCCAGCAAGUCACAUGAAUUAACACAAAAAGUAAUGUCCUCAACUUCAUUAGGUGUCACUGGAAGCCCCCUGUCUUUUCUUUAUCAGACAAGAUUACAUUGAAAUCACCCCCCAACUAUCCAUGGGAGAUUCAUGUUGUGAGAAAGAGAGUAGAUAUCAUUCCAGAGAGUGAGCCUUUCUUGACUGUCACAUUUGGCAUAAACAAUGGUAGUAAUCAAAGAUUCACUGGAAUUUUGAAAAUUCAAUUGUAAUGUUAGCUGUUGUUCUGUAUCAGAUAACACUCCAACCUGAAUGUGAUCCUGAAUAAACACCCAUAUCUUUCCAUUUAUAUUGUAAUUUGCAUACUGCAUGCCCAACCUUCUCUUAUACUUGUGAAUAUUCCUGGCUUCUUGAAAUGGUUCCAUUAAUGCAAUUAUAGCAAAAUUAUGAUAUUUGUGCAACAUUUGAAUUCUAUGGAAUGAAUGCUGAGUUUUGACAGAUCUCACAUUCCAAAAUAAUGCCUUCAUUAUCAUUUAAAUGUUGCUUUUCCUGACCUCUUAGGAUUCACCCUAAUAGGUUUGUUCUCCCCUUUAGUCCUUUUCUGCUUACAAACAGACCUAAGUGCAUUAAAGAAAAGUGUCUUUUCUCCCCUUUUUUCUGGGCAACAAAAGUGAGAAACAAUAGGAAUUUUAUUUUUAUUUUUUAUUUAAAAUUAUAUUAUUUAAUAUAAUUGAUGGUAAUUAUAAGAGAAAAUGUCUAGAUGCCUAGUGUGGAGGUGUGAGAAGUUCACUACGAAUGGUUUUAGGAGAGGUAAAGAUAGGUCGAAGGAUUAUUUGGGAGAGGUCAUUAGACAUGACAUGACAAGACGUAGUUUCAGUUUACCAAGGAUAUGACCUUAGAUAGAAUGUUGUAGAGGAUACAACUUAGGGUAGUGGGCUAGUAGAUAGCAAUGUGUUGUUGUCACGAUCCAAACUACCUUGUAGAUGUGACAUGAUGAAUAGGAUCCUGAGAGACCCUAGAAAAGCCACUUGACAUAAGACUGUCACUAAGAUAUGAAUAUACUUAAUGCUAUGAAUCAUAAAGAUGAAUAAAAGUCUCAAAAGUACAAAUCUGGACAUGCAGAAAUCAUACAAAGUCUUACAUAAGCCUCUACUAAUCAUAGAUGUGACUAGGACAAAUUCUACCUCACGAAAUAAGCUGAAAACUGAAAUGAACAUAAAAGACCGAUAAUGGUCAUUCCCUCAAACAACGAGGACUCACCAAUCUGCUAGCCAUGCUGAAAUAAUUUGAUCUAACUAUGACGGAAAUGGAGAAACGUCAGACCCCAUAUUAUGAAACAAAAUAUGCAUAACAAAUAUAUGUGUAAGUAUUUUGAAUAUAGUAAAUAUGAGGAACAUGCAUAAGCAUAAACACAAUAAGUUUAAAACAUGAUAAUGCCUGACCAAGUGAAAACAUAACAAUCAGAUAAGCUAAAUUUAUAAAUCGUGGAGUGGUCAAUGCAAUAUGAGAAUCACGACAUAUGUAUAAAAACGUAAACGACGUGAGAAAAUCAUAUCAUUUGUGGGAUGUUUACCAUUUACCGACAUAGACCAUGUGAGCUAUGACAUUGAAUUCACUGUCUUACUCCCACACCGAAAAAGAUGUCCUAUUUGACAAGGUGAGGACCUUAUACUUAAACUUAGGUGGAUCCACUAGCUAAAUUGUCCAAUUGGGAUAUCCUUGAUAAAGUUGCUUAUGAAGUUGAGUUGCCUAAUGACUUAGUGUCAGUACAUCUGAUUUUUCAUGUCUUUUUGUUGAAAAAGUGUGUUAGAGAUCUGACGUUCAUAGUGCCUUUAGAAGGUUUGGGAGUUAAAGAAUAUAUUUCAUAUGAAAAGAUUCUGGUUGAGAUUUUAGAUCGACAAGUUUGGAAAUUAAGAAAUAAGGAAGUUGCUUCCGUGAAAGUUCUUUGGAGGAAUCAAUUAGUUGAGGGUGCUAUUUUGGAGGCCAAAGCUGAUAUGAUGUCCCGAUAUCCUCAUCCCUUUCCUUCCGCUCCUAUUCUAGCUUGAGGUAUUAGUUCCUCAUGGUUCAUUCUUUCGGAUUCAUGCGCUUUAGUCUUUCUCAUGUUUCCAUAUGCAUGCAUGUUCAUGAAAAUGUUUUCUUGGAAAAUAAGUUAAUUUCUAACUUAUUUUUUUUAUGUUUGGUUGGUUAGUGGAAAAAUAAUUUUCAAAAAAUACUUUCUAGUGUUUGAUUGGUGAAUGAAAAACACAUUUUAGAAAAUAUCUUUUAUUAUUUGCUAGAGAGUAAAAAAUACUUUUUAGAAAAAUAGUUUAUGACCUGAAAAUCAACCUCAAUAAUAGAUCAAGGACCUAGCCCCAACACUCAAUUCGAAACCUAACCCCUACUUCCGAUAUCAGACUUGACAUUUAAUUGGAACCUGACCUUGACCAUGACCUAAAUUAGGACAUGAUCCCAAGAUCCAAACUAGGACCUAACCCCGCUAGAGACUCGAUAUUUGAAGUAGAACAUGAUCCCGACAUCUGAACCUGAACUUGAAUCGAGACUCGACUCGACCCAAGACCUACCUACUCUUUACAACAUUCGACUCAAGAUCCAGCUUUUGAAUUAGAAUCCAACCCCGAUACUCAACCCGAGACUCGACCCCCAACUCUGACCUAGGACUUGUGCAACACCCCAAAAAUUUCUAAGUUAAGACCCAAACUAUUCUUCAUUUAUAUGUAAGGUCAUAUUGGGUUAUUCUUAAAUUGUCCAUAUUUGUAAAGGUCAAUUAUUUAGUGUGAGAAUGCAUUUGGAUAUUGUAACACCCCGGAUUUAAAAUAGAGGAUAGCAUGUUAGGACUUCAAGGUGCCACCCCGCAAGGACCAAUUAUGGGCCCAUGAAGAGGCCCCAAGAAAACUGCCUGAGGUAGUGAAUAAUGGCUAGGACCCACGCCCAAUGGAUGGGUCCACAGCUCGUGGCUAGGGGUCCGUAGGUGGGGGAAAAGUCUCUGUCAAUACCACGCCCAACCAGGAUGGACCGUAGGUCCAUCCACGGCCCGUCGGCGGGGUCUCGUGGUUUGCCUUUUUGGACAAUUGAGAAGGUUAGCUUAGGGGCACUUUGGUCCUUUUCGAAUUUAAUUGAAAUUAAGUUGUGUCGUUUUACCCUAGUCUACACCACCUAUAUAAGUACUUUAGACCCCUAAAUUAAGUCAUCCUCUCAAACUCACCAAAAGAAUUGGGUUCCUCCCUCAAAUAAUUCUCUCUCUAGAAAGUUGAAGAAGAAGAAGGGGGUUCAAGCUGGUCAAGUCAAGUAUCCAUUCUUCCAAGCUUUGUGGGCUUUGUAAUCAAGGUAUUAUGUCUUAUUCAUCCAUGGAAUUGUUUCAUCCAUGGAGCCUCCAUGAUUUCCCCAAUUUAGAAGAAGAAUUCCCCAAUUCUAGUUAGGGUUUCUUCUAAUGUUAUGAGUUAUGACCCAAUGGAGUGGAUUAUAGUUGUUUAUGAUUGAAUUGAUAGAAUUACAUGUUUAUAUGAUGAAUUUACAUGUACUCAUGCCUAACCCUUGUUUCUAACCUAGAAUUGAUGAAAUUGGGUUUUAUGCCAUGAAAGCGGAAAUUGAGGAUUUAGAUGUAAUCUUCUAGGAUUGAUGAAAUACAUUAUAGAUGGCUUGAGAUUGUAUUUGUUUUUUCUGAUUGUAUUUGUUUUAUUUGUGUCCUUUGUUUCUUUUUUGCUUUUCAUUUGGGUCACUUGGACCAGUGGACUUGUAUCUAAUUUUGUUUUCAUUAAAUUAGGCCCAAUGGACAAUUUAGUUAAAAAAAAAAGAUUGAAUUAUAUAGAUAUGAAUUGCUUGAGAGUAAAGACAUAAAUAUGAAUUGAAUUAUACUAAAGUAUACAUGAUGAAUUAUGAUUAAUAGUGCUUGAGAUUGAGCCUAUAUGAUGAUAUAUGAUUAGAAUUACUUAAGAAUGAAGCGUGUGAUUAGAAUGUAUUGAGAUCUAGGCAUAUGUGAUGAUUAUGAGAAGUAAUGCUUUGAGAGUAAGGCUUGUAGUUAUGAAUGUUGAUUGCUAGGGCUUUGAGAGUAAAGCUAAUAUGAUGAACUAUGAAUGUUAAGGCUUUGAGAAUGAAGCGUAUGUGAUUGUUGAAUUGUAGAUAGAGUUGUUGUGGAAGGAUUUACCUACUUGACCUAUAUUAUGUAUGUAUGAAUGAAUAAUGUGAAAGGUUUAAUCACAUAGAAUGAUUUCUAGGUUGAAAGGCUUGCUCACCUAAAAUGAAUCUAGACUAAAUGCUAAAUGAAUGAUGAGGCUAGAGGCGACUACCCUUGACCUCCAUAUGUAAACGAUAUGAGGUGAUUUCCUAUAUUCCUUAGAAUUGAACAAGAGGUGACUUCCCACGCUCUUAUAAUGAUGAAUGGGCAUGAAGGUGAGUACCUGUGACCCUUAUGAAAUGAUGUGGAUGUGAAUCCUCAUAUCUUUAAAGCUUGAAUUGGUAAGACAAGACCAUGCAUGGUAGCUUGAGUAGUAUAUCUCAUGGAUAAAAUUGGAUUGAGAAAUCGUACCCUUCCCUGAGUUGCCUGUACUAGCAUAAUAGAAUGCUUGCAUGAUAGCUUGACUUGGUGAGGCCACACCAUUCCAUGAUAGCUUGGAUUGAGCAAUAAUACCCUUCCUUGAGUAGCUUGGACUUGCAUGAGUAAGGUGAUUUCAAUGAUAGCUUGGUCUAGCAUAAUGAGGUGCAUUUCCUUGAUAGCCUUGACUUGGUAAAUCGUAACCAUUCAUGAAUAAUGAUGUAUCUUGGAACUAGUAGAGGGAUACUCUUCCAUAAAUAGUAAGAAUGGCUAAAGAAGGAACAAGUCCCUAAUCAAAGUAGCAUAAUUAUGAUGAAACGAGAUUAGUUCAAGGAAGUAUUGUAAGUAUGUUUCUACAUGAGAUUGAUUGUAUGAUGAUAGCUUAGCUUGGAUUGUUAAUUGAGUUGCUUUCCUCUACAUGUAUGACUAGAGGUGAUGACCCAAGUCUUGAGUAAGAAUAAGUCGAGGUUACUUGAGAAGUGUUCCUUCAUAAUGAUUUAUGUGUAUUGAAUAUGCUUAUGACUUAUGUUGAUGUCUCUUAUGCUUAUAGCCUAUGUCUUAUGUUGACUAAUGCUUAUUUCAUGCUUAUGUUGAUGAUUUAUGCUAGCCAUCAUAUUUAGUACAUUUUUGUACUAACGCAUACUCUUGCUUACAUUCUUAUCAAAUGUAGGGUCCGGCGAUAUUGACUUCCAUCCCCGUGGCUAGGUUCAUAGUAGAGCAAGGAGUGAAGAUUUGGUGAGUCCUCAUAGCAUUGAGGAUUUGAUCACCCUUUCUCUUUUAUGUUUUUAUUUUAAUAUUAGAACUAUUGUAUGGGCUGUGUCCCAAAGAUAUUCAUGUUUUAGAUGGUUCGAGACAAGUGUAAUAGACUUCCGCUCAUUUUAUAAAAGACUUUGAUUGUUUGAAA
rnacentral:lncRNA from 1 species